rnacentral:rRNA from 1 species
GACGAACGCUGGCGGCGUGCUUAACACAUGCAAGUCGAACGGAAAGGCCUCUUUCGGGGGGUACUCGAGUGGCGAACGGGUGAGUAACACGUGAGUGACCUGCCCUUGACUUUGGGAUAACUUCAGGAAACGGGGGCUAAUACCGGAUAGGAGCUCCUGCUGCAUGGUGGGGGUUGGAAAGUUUCGGCGGUUGGGGAUGGACUCGCGGCGUAUCAGCUUGUUGGUGGGGUAGUGGCUUACCAAGGCGUUGACGGGUAGGCGGCCUGAGAGGGUGACCGGCCACAUUGGGACUGAGAAACGGCCCAGACUCCUACGGGAGGCAGCAGUGGGGAAUAUUGAACAAUGGGUGGAAGCCUGAUGCAGCAACGCCGUGUGCGGGAUGACGGCCUUCGGGUUGGAAACCGCUUUCGCUCAUGACGAAGCUUUGUGUGACGGUAGUGGGUAAAGAAGCACCGGCUAACUACGUG